CAUAUUUGGGACUACCUUUGGGAUCUUCUAGCAAAGAUCUCGUAGUGUGGAAUCCGGUGGUUGAGAGGGUCGAGAAGCGACUAGAAGGAUGGCAAAAAACGUAUCUGUCGAAAGGGGAAAGGAAGUUUUGAUCAAGAGCACUCUUUCUAGUAUUCCUAUAUAUUUUGUCACUUUUGCAGGCCCCUAGCAAGGUGAUUGAAAGAAUGGAAGGACUUUAAUGUAACGUCCUUUGGGGACUCAUCGGAAGACACUAAAAAGUGAAUUGGAGAGUCGUCACAUCUCCAAAGGAAUGGGGAGGGCUUGGAGUGAAAGAUCUCCAGAUGUAUAACAAAGCUUUGGUAGGAAAGUGGAUAUGGAGAUUCUGGAUGGAGGAAAAUGUUUUUUGGUGGGGGGUGGGUAGCGGCUAAAUAUGGUAUAAUGGAUGGUGGAUGAAGGACUAGAAACAUUGUAACUCCGUUUGGGUGUGGUUUGUGGAGGGGUAUCAUGAAGGGAUGAAGGCUUCUGUCGACAUAUCUCAUUUAAGGUAGGGGAUGGUAGUAGGAUUAGUUUUGGGGCAUAUAAGUGGUGUAGGGAUCAAGUUUGAAUUUGUGCAAUGUGCUUUAAUGAUUUUUAUUUAUUUUCUGAUAUCUAUUGAAUUCCAAACUCACUGUGUCACAUCCAGGAUUCUCUUAAACUUGAGUGUCUUUGUUCUUUUUAUGGGUAAGUUGGUAAUGUUAUCUGUCAAGAGUUCACAAAAAUUCCCAAGCGAAGGUGUUAUAAUCUUGCCCAAGCUUCACAAAUUAACUGGUUGGUUGGUACUUUUGUAGAUGAGGUUUAUGAAGCAAUCCAACUUGUUUCAUGAAUUACUGAAGUCAAAUACACUUGCAAGUAGCCGUUUUCUUGGGUUGGAUGUGGGCGAUAAGUACGUUGGUCUAGCUGUUUCGGACACAACAAAUAAAGUUGCAUCACCUCUCGCGUAAUGUAGUUUCUCUGAAAAAUCUAAAAUUUUGAUCUUGUUGAAACAAUUAUGCCCAUGUUCAGUUUUAUUACAUCUUCUGUUAGAAGAAAUGACAUUAAUGUUGGGUAUAUGCAGCGUUCUCCUCCGCAAGAGAACAAAUAUUGACUUGAUGGCCAAAGAUUUGCAAAGUCUGGUAAGGUUCUACAUAUAGUUAACUUACAAUUUCAAAUAAUUGUGGUUCAUUAGGUAGUUAAGUAGUUUUGUUGCUCGACUUCUGCUACUUAUAGCCAAAUUCUGCAUGAGCAGUUGCAUGUGAAAGAUUCUAAUUUUGAACAACUGUUUUACAAAAGACAGCAUUAUGUUAUAAACCCUGCUCUCUUCCGUUCAAUUUCUCUGUUUUCUCCACAUUUUACUAUUGUGGUGGAAUAAAGAAGUUUAAAAUCAAGUUGCAUUCUAAAUUACUUGAAUAUGCAUGGUAGAUACAUCAGUUUUGGAUGACAAUAAAACUUAUUUUGAAAAUAGUAAUGAAUGGUGCUGCAAAAUGCAAUGUUUCAUCAUCUUGUCUUCCUUUUUCAAUUGCAGGUUUCUGAACUUUCCUUGGGGGGCUUCGUUUUCGGCUAUCCAUUUGAUAGACAAAAACCUAGUCGAAAUGUAUGUUUUUCACUUUGAUAAUGAUUAGUUUACUUUGUUACCAUUGUUUGAAAUCAACAUUUUUCCGUCUUUGUCAGGCUUUGCAAAUUAAGGUCUUCAUUGACGACCUUUGUAAGACAGGGGAACUUAAAGGUGUAAACUACACCUUAAUGGGUGAAGGUUUCACAUCUAAGGUACGUGCUCUGAACUUUUUAACUUAGUAAAAGAUAUCGUGAAUUAGUCAUUUCUUGAUAGCAAGACAGUAUCACAUGAUUCUUGUUAUUGAAAGGUUGCAACUAGAUUAUUUUAAUAGUCACACUACAAAUAGUGUCAGAUGACGGACUUAUGGAGGACAAUUGAGCUUGAACCUUUUUUUUUUGUUUAAUGUUACCUUAUACUUGGAUGUAAACGAACGAUUACGCUGUUUGACUCCUCGAAUAACUGUUGAAAACAAGCUUUUGCUUCUGUAAAGAAUUUUGGUCCUCUUCUGUAAUUUGCCUUUUGUUUUUUAUUAGUUGAAGUUAGAUUGAUCUCAUCUAAGUUGCUCGGACUCGGUGCGGUGUCUAAUACGGGUGCGGAUCUAGAGGUCGGAUCUUUCAUGUUAUAAAUUUUAAAUUCUUAAAUUCGUGGAUACAGAUCCAAGUAUGGAUACGGGCAUGGUGAUUCGGCUAAAACUGAUUCAAAUAUCUAAAAAUCAAAGUUAUAUGUCUAAAUUAUGGGACAUUAUGUGGAAAACUUGCAAGGUAUUCUGUGGAAAAAGUAAUGAUAAAGAGGAGAAUCCCAAAAGGUGAUAUAAGGAAAAUGACGGGAACAAAAAUUUUUAUAUACAAGGUACUCCAUUUCUUUCAACUUCACAUUAGCUUUUGGUUUGAUUACAGAAAUCGUGUUGUAUCUGUCCUGAAUUUCUCUAUUGGGUUUGGUCAAAGUACCUAACAUCGGUUGACCAAAUCAGUUACGGAUCCCACAGCCACACCCAUGUCAUGUCGACACCGGUGCGGCACCGAAGUGUGAAGAGCCAAGAAACUUAGGAUCUCAUUUCUCCCCACCCUCCGCAACUGUUUGUCUUUGAUCAUUUAAUGUUAUCUAUUGAAAUGAGAAAUGACCAACAAUUAUCUGUAUUGUUUUGUUUUCAGAAUGUUGAGUCGUUUCUACAAGAUUUAAAGUUUCACCCAACACAGUCGAAGACCUUGUUAGACAAAUUUGCAGCAGUUGGAAUACUUCAGGUAAUAAAAGAUCUUACCUUAUUUCUGCAGUUGAGCUAGAAUCAUAGUUUACCUCGCUGAAGUGGUGUAUUUCUUUUCAACACUUAGACAAGGCCCUUAUUAAUCAAUAGAUUUCAAGCGGAAAUAUUCGGAAAAACUUGUCUUAUCUGAUAAAAAUUGGUUUUCUUUUGUACAGAAAUAAAAUUAUCUUGCAAUUCUUAGCUGAAAUAAUCUCUACUUACUUUCAACUAAGAAACUAGAGUGACGGAGGCAGACCUUUGCCCAUAAUUGUUUCUACUGUUCCUUUUCUAAUUUAGGCUAGCAAACUGUCGUUUGGUUAGAACACCUACAUAACAAAUAAAGAGUUCAUUAGUUCAAACUAGAGGAGCAAUAUACUUUCACUACUUGAUCAAGUUUUAGUUUCCGGUUUCAGUUAAGGUUCAUUUUAGGAUUCAGCUUUGCCUCUUAUCUGGAAAAAAAAAAAAAGGAAGCCGAAUUUUGGUGUUAUUAAAGGCUUUGUAUGUUCUGUAGACUGUAAUACAAUGAUUGUGGUGGUUUGUGGCAGCUGUACCUCGAUUAUGUUAACAGGAAACAAGCGAAGAAGGCUCUUAUUAGCUUGGUGCCUAAUACAAACCUGCAACUGAUUUAAGUUAAUUUCUUCAAAGGAUGGAUGUGUAUCUCUAUCUGCAACUGUAUGUACAUGUACCAAACAUUGAAACAAUGAGUUGUACAUGUCGCUGUAGUUUAUAGGUUACUGUAUUUUGUUGAAACUUUUUGUAACCUACCCUCUAUUUUACUUUAUGUAUGAAUUUUAACACUUAUUUCAUGAGCAAUGCUUUGACCGCAUUUUCAUCUAGCUACUUGCAAAUUUGAUAUUAUUUCUAGCUACCAAAUUUUCUUCACUUGGUUGAUGGACGAGUGAACGCCAAAUUUAUUACAUAAAACAUUGAUUUAUGAAAAAGUUGAGAAAUUUUGAAAUUAUUUGUUUACACGUCCAAGAAUACCUCCCAGGUGGUAGAGGAACUACUAAAGGUGGAUUCGAAGCUGGCAUGGGAUAUGGCUAGGUUGAAUAAUUUCUUGUUCCGUUACAACGAACAACCUUAAUUGGUGUUGGCAUAGGACAUCGCGAUAGCUGCGGAUUCAAUGAAUUAUGGGCAAGCUAAAUAAUACCAAGUAAAACAUCAAUUUCAUGAAUUAUGGACAAGCUAAAUAAUACCAAGCAAAACAUCAAUUUCAUGAAUUAUGGGCAAGCUAAAUAAUACCAAGCAAAACAUCAAUUUCUCUAAGAGUAAAAGAAAUUAUAUCGACUUUUACAUUACAUAGAAUAGACAACUCAUAUGCUUUCUUUCAGAGUAUUACUAAUCUUCACUCUAGAACUUGAUUUUUCUUCCCUCGUCGAGAUUGCCUAUGAUACACAAAAGAGAAAAGAGUAGAAUAGAUGAGUGAGUAUGCAUCUAUGGAUAUAAAAUAAGUAGAUGUCCGAUAGGACCACAUAAUUAAGUAAUUGAAAGUUGAUUGAGAUAAUCUGAACAAAUUUAGACAAAAAAUUAAUUGCACAAUCUGGUCUUUAAGGUAUUUAUUAAUAAGUUACCUAAAUAGAUGUAGUUAAACUCCUACAUGCCAACCCUUGAUGUUCCCCUUUCUCAUGCUCUUAUCCCAUGGUGCUAUAACUGUUAGAGUUGUGACCUGAAUUAUGUUGACUGGCCCUGAAAGUUUCGCGGUGCGUUCCAUAUUUGUGAUUUUCAAUGAGGUCUGUGGUGGUAGCAUAAGGAUCGGGCCUAGGGCUUAUUUGUAUGCACGUAUUAUAUAAGUGCAAUUAGUGGGUCAGUUUUAUUUAUUCAGAAAUUACGCUCCACAUUGUACUUCUCUCCUUUCAUUAUAGUGAAACAUCCACUGCCUCUACCCGUGGUUUUUCCCGUAAGAGUUUCCACGUAAAUCUUAUGUUGUUCUUGUAUUUCCCUUUUACUUGUAGUUUGCUUUAAUCUGUCUAUUUCUAACAAACUGGUAUCAAAUCCUAUUCAAUUGUUUUCUCGGGGAUGACAACCAUGAAGUAUGAUAUUUCAUUGUUGGGUCGCAACACCAGAUUUUUGUUAUGGCAGGUUAAGAUGUGGGUUGUGCUCGUGCAGAUGGAUUUGGAUGAUGCUCUAUUAGGGUUUAAGAAGAUGCCCUCAUUAUGGACGAACAAGGAUAAAUGCCGUAAGGAUCAGAAGGUUCUAUCACAGAUCCACCUUUAUUUAUCCAAUCAGAUUCUACAGGAUAUUUUGAAGGAGACCACUACCAAUGCGUUGUGGUUGAAACCGACAUCUUUAUGCAUGACGAAGAGCCUAACAAUUAAGUUGCAUCUCAAACAACGACUUUAUUCCCAUCGUAUAUCUGAGGGUAUGUAUUUGGAAGAUCACCUAUCUGUCUUUAGAGAAAUCAUUUCUGAUUUAAAGACUCUGGAGGUUAAGUACGAUGAGGAAGAUUUAGGGUUGAUUCUGUUGUAUUCGCUGCCUGCAUCAUACUCUACCUUUAGGGAU
rnacentral:lncRNA from 1 species